GGGUCAGUAGGUUGGUCGUGCCACCGGUACGUACUGGUCUCACUGAUUCCUUCUUCCUGAAGAACCGUAAUGCCAUUAAUUUGGUGUUGCGGGGAAACAGGACUGUUACUUUGAAAAAAUUAGAGUGUUUAAAGCAAGCUAACGCUUGAAUACAUUAGCAUGGAAUAAUGAAAUAGGGCGAUCGAUCCUAUUUUGUUGGUUUCUAGGAUUGACGUA
rnacentral:rRNA from 1 species